rnacentral:rRNA from 1 species
ACGCUCGACACCUACGAGAGGCAGCAGUCGGGAAUAUUGCGCAAUGGAGGAAACUCUGACGCAGUGACGCCGCGUGCAGGAAGAAGGUUUUCGGAUUGUAAACUGCUUUAGACAGGGAAGAAAAAGGACAGUACCUGUAGAAUAAGCUCCGGCUAACUACGCGCCAGCAGCCGCGGUAAUCUGAGCGGGCUGGCAAGGC